rnacentral:rRNA from 1 species
GACGAACGCUGGCGGCGUGCUUAACACAUGCAAGUCGAACGGAAAGGCCUCUUUCGGUUGGUACUCGAGUGGCGAACUGGUGAGUAACACGUGAGUAACCUGCCCUUGACUUUGGGAUAACUUCAGGAAACUGGGGCUAAUCCCGGAUAGGAGCUCCUGCUGCCUGGUGGGGGUUGGAAAGUUUCGGCGGUUGGGGAUGGACUCGCGGCUUAUCAGCUUGUUGGUGUGGUCGUGGGUUACUAAGGCUUUGACGGGUAGCCGGCCUGAGAGAGUGACCGGCCACAUUGGGACUGAGAGACGGCCCAGGCUGCUACGGGAGGCAGCAGGGGGGAAUAUUGCACAAUGGGUAGAGGCCUGAUGCAGCAAGGCCGUGUGCGGGAUGACGGCCUUCGGGUUGUAAACCGCUUUCGCUCAUGACGAAGCUUUGUGUGACGGUAGUGGGUAAAGAAGCACCGGCUAACUACGUG